rnacentral:rRNA from 1 species
UACAGAGGGGGCAAGCGUUAUUCGGAAUUAUUGGGCGUAAAGGGCGCGUAGGCGGCUUGGCAAGUGGAAGGUGAAAUACCCUCGGCUUAACCGAGGAACUGCCUUCCAGACUGUUAGGCUUGAGACCGGGAGAGGUGAGUGGAAUUCCCAGUGUAGCGGUGAAAUGCGUAGAUAUUGGGAGGAACACCAGUGGCGAAGGCGGCUCACUGGUUGGAGUACUGACGCUGAUACGCGAAAGCGUGGGGAGCAAACAGG